AUUACUCUGUCAAAGCUCCUCUCCCUCUGGGGGAACCUCGUCUGCUUUCAGUGUAGGGACUGCACUGUGUGACACUUUAAAAGGUUAGCAGGCAUUGUGACCUAGUGGACCAGACCUGCCCAUCUGAGGAGGGGAAACCCACCAUGUAAUAGAGUAAAGUAUGUUCACCCUGUUACCCUUUGACAGCUGCUGAACAUUGACAUUUUAACAUGUAUAUUUGUGAAAUAAAG